CGCCGGGGGAGAGAAACCCGCGCGCUUCUUAUCGAAGGGAAAGCUAAUCUCUGUGUCGCGGCGUGGAGGCGCCGUGGAUCCUGCAGUCGGGGCUCCGGAAAUCCCUCCCGGGGCUCGAGAAGCCGCUCCGUCUGCGGAAGCCGCUUCCGGGAGGAGCCUGACCCUGGCUGGGCGCGCAGGCGGCCGCGGGAUGGGCGGCGGGUGGCAGGGCUGCACGGUGCCCGGGCGUCUCCAGUGUGCCACACACACGAGGCCGUCCAAUUAAACUCAGUUGUAUGCCUCUUUUUCCCCACCUAGAAAGCGAACUAUCCGGCCCCCUGCGACUGAACGAAGUCAUGCAGUAACGCCUUUCUCCUCCGAGGAGUUUCAGGUGAACUCAGCGUGGGUGACCCAGGUCAUCCGACUGGAAGAUUAUUGUGUGCACUGAGUGAGAACCUGGGCCUGCUGCGUGCCCCUGAACCUGUGGGUUUGACUCUGGAGUGGCGCUCGCCAGCUGAAGACUGCUUUGUGUGGUGACUCUAAAUAAAUGGAGUUUGGCCACACUCUG